UACGGAGGGUGCAAACGUUGCUCGGAAUCAUUGGGCGUAAAGCGCACGUAGGUGGUUUGUUAAGUCGGGUGUGAAAGCCCUGGGCUCAACCCAGGAAGUGCACUCGGAAACUGGCAGACUUGAGUACUGAAGAGGGUCGCGGAAUUCCCGGUGUAGAGGUGAAAUUCGUAGAUAUCGGGAGGAACACCAGUGGCGAAGGCGGCGACCUGGGCAGAUACUGACACUGAGGUGCGAAAGCGUGGGGAGCAAACAGG
rnacentral:rRNA from 1 species